rnacentral:rRNA from 1 species
UGCUUAAAGGGGCCGUAGCUUGGUCGUUAAGCCUCUGGGGAAAUCUUCCGGCUCAACCGGAAGGCGUCUCAGGGGAACUGGCGACCUAGGGAUCGGGAGAGGUGAGAGGUACUCUGGGGGUAGGAGUGAAAUCCUGUAAUCCUCAGGGGACCACCUGUGGCGAAGGCGUCUCACCAGAACGACUCCGACAGUGAGGGACGAAAGCUGGGGGAGCAAACCGGAUUAGAUACCCGGGUAGUCCCAGCCGUAAACGAUGCGCGUUAGGUGUAUCGGUGACCACGAGUUACCGAGGUGCCGAAGGGAAACCGUGAAACGCGCCGCCUGGGAAGUACGGUCGCAAGGGUGAAACUUAAAGGAAUUGGCGGGGGAGCACCACAACGGGUGGAGCCUGCGGUUUAAUUGGACUCAACGCCGGACAGCUCACCGGGUAGGACAGCGAUAUGAUAGUCGGGCUGAAGACUCUACUUGAUCAGCUGGGAGGAGGUGCAUGGCCGUCGUCAGUUCGUACUGUGAAGCAUCCUGUUAAGUCAGGCAACGAUCGAGACCCGCGUCCUCUGUUGCUACUGGUUUUGUGCUAGGCACACUGAGGAGACCGCCGCUGAUAAAGCGGAGGAAGGAGCGGGCCACGGUAGGUCAGUAUGCCUCGAAUCUCCCGGGCCACACGCGAGCUGUAAUGCCAGG